AUGGCGCCCGCGCCCACCACUCCCUCCUUCCUCCGGCCCCCGCCGCUGCACCCCCACCGCAUCCGCCUCCCCGCCCCUCCUCCCUCCGCGUCCUUCCGCCUAUCCGAAAUCCUCGGCGGCCGCGGCCUCUGCAAUGGUGAGGUCGGCAUCCGCAAGGAGCUCUCGUCGCCCACCCCGCCCUCACCUCCUCCAUCCACGCCCUCGGGAGACUCCUCACCAGGAAGCGCUAAGUCGGACCCUCCGGCGGUGUACCCGGACGCGUUCGAGAAGGAGAUGAUGGGCCUCACGGGCGGCUUCCCCGGGGGCGAGGUCGGGCUCAAGGACUUCGUCGCCAAGAACCCGCCUCCUCCCCCCAAGAGAACCCAGACGGACGGGAAAGCAUCCUCCGCCGUGGUUCCGGCGGGGAGGCCGAGGCCGCCGGAGUUGCCGCUGUUCCUCCCCGGCAUGGUGGUGCUCGUCAAGAACCCCAACAACGCGUACCACAUGUACUGUGGCAUCGUGCAGCGCGUCACCGAUGGAAAGGUCGGGGUGCUGUUCGAGGGCGGGAACUGGGAUAGGCUCAUCACCUUCGGCGUAGACGAGCUCGAAGGCCGGGAGAAGGGCCCGCCCAUGGUGAACCCCAAGUCGGUCGUGCUCGAGGCGCUCGUCGAGGCCAUGGACGAGGACGAGGUGGCCGAGAAGAAGGAAGAGGAAGGCACGGCCGCCAUAAAGGCUUGA
rnacentral:rRNA from 1 species